GACGUAGGGUGCGAGCGUUGUCCGGAAUUAUUGGGCGUAAAGGGCUCGUAGGCGGUUUGUCACGUCUGCUGUGAAAUCCCGAGGCUCAACCUCGGGCCUGCAGUGGGUACGGGCAGACUGGAGUGCGGUAGGGGAGAAUGGAAUUCCUGGUGUAGCGGUGGAAUGCGCAGAUAGUCAGGAGGAACACCGAUGGCGAAGGCAGGUCUCUGGGCCGCAACUGACGCUGGAGGAGCGAAAGCAUGGGGAGCGAACAGG
rnacentral:rRNA from 1 species